rnacentral:rRNA from 1 species
UGGGAAUUUUGGACAAUGGGCGAAGCCUGAUCCAGCCAUGCCGCGUGCAGGAUGAAGGCCUUCGGGUUGUAAACUGCUUUUGUACGGAACGAAAAGACUCUGGUUAAUACCUGGGGUCCAUGACGGUACCGUAAGAAUAAGCACCGGCUAACUACGUGCCAGCAGCCGCGGUAAUACGUAGGGUGCAAGCGUUAAUCGGAAUUACUGGGCGUAAAGCGUGCGCAGGCGGUUAUAUAAGACAGAUGUGAAAUCCCCGGGCUCAACCUGGGAACUGCAUUUGUGACUGUAUAGCUAGAGUACGGCAGAGGGGGAUGGAAUUCCGCGUGUAGCAGUGAAAUGCGUAGAUAUGCGGAGGAACACCGAUGGCGAAGGCAAUCCCCUGGGCCUGUACUGACGCUCAUGCACGAAAGCGUGGGGAGCAAAACAGGAUUAGAUACCCUGGUAGUCCACGCCCUAAAACGAUGUCAACUGGUUGUUGGGUCUUCACUGACUCAGUAACGAAGCUAACGCGUGAAGUUGACCGCCUGGGGAGUACGGCCGCAAGGUUGAAACUUAAAUGAAUUGACGGGGUCAUAGCUGUUUCCU